rnacentral:rRNA from 1 species
UGGGGAAUCUUGGACAAUGGGCGCAAGCCUGAUCCAGCCAUGCCGCGUGGAUGAUGAAGGCCUUAGGGUUGUAAAAUCCUUUCGUUGGGGACGAUAAUGACGGUACCCAAAGAAGAAGCUCCGGCUAACUUCGUGCCAGCAGCCGCGGUAAUACGAAGGGGGCUAGCGUUGUUCGGAAUUACUGGGCGUAAAGCGCACGUAGGCGGAUUGUUAAGUCAGAGGUGAAAUCCCGGAGCUCAACUUCGGAACUGCCUUUGAUACUGGCAAUCUAGAGUCCGGAAGAGGUUAGUGGAAUUCCCAGUGUAGAGGUGAAAUUCGUAGAUAUUGGGAAGAACACCAGUGGCGAAGGCGGCUAACUGGUCCGGUACUGACGCUGAGGUGCGAAAGCGUGGGGAGCAAACAGGAUUAGAUACCCCCGUAGUCCCUGAGCGGGCUGGCAAGGCGCAU